rnacentral:rRNA from 1 species
UAGCCGUAAACGAUACUCGCUAGGUGUCGGCCACGGUGCGACCGUUGUCGGUGCCGUAGGGAAGCCGUGAAGCGAGCCACCUGGGAAGUACGGCCGCAAGGCUGAAACUUAAAGGAAUUGGCGGGGGAGCACAACAACGGGUGGAGCUUGCGGUUUAAUUGGAUUCAACGCCGGAAAUCUUACCGGGACCGACAGCAACAUGAAGGCCAAGCUGAAGACUUUGCCGGAUUAGCUGAGAGGUGGUGCAUUGGCGUAGUCGUGU